rnacentral:rRNA from 1 species
UACGAGGGGGGCAAGCGUUGUUCGGAAUUAUUGGGCGUAAAGGGUGCGUAGGCGGUCUGAUAAGUCAUCUGUGAAAUCUAUGGGCUCAACCCAUAGUCUGCAGGCGAAACUGCCAUGCUUGAGUGCGGGAGAGGCGAGUGGAAUUACAGGUGUAGCGGUGAAAUGCGUAGAUAUCUGUAGGAACACCCGUGGCGAAGGCGGCUCGCUGGACCGCAACUGACGCUGAGGAACGAAAGCUAGGGGAGCAAACAGG